AACAGAGGUUAAAGCUAAAACAACAGAAUCUGGGUACGUCUGUGUGAAGAGGUGUGGCUUUAGUGUGGAUUUGAAUAGUACACAAGUAGGCCUACGCUAUUUUUGGCCUAACUUUUUUUUAAGUGUUAUGUUUUCCCAGAUUCAUAGUGUUAUGCAGCUCAGGCCUAUCUAGGAAGGCUGGGCAUAAAUUGUUUGCUCACAGCAUCACAUGAUGACGUGGGCAACAUAAACACUUAAACUCUGUGGAUUAAAGUUAAUAGUAAUCAAAACUAAUUUCACCACGAAAGGAAGUGCAAUCGAAAUGAAUGAAGAAGACACGGUCAUUCUAGUGAGUUAAUAAAAUGACAAGGUGUUGCCUGUCAGCGUUGUAGACUACUGCCUCACAAGCCCGGGCUUUAGUGGCACUGGCAUACGCGCUUGCCUCUGUACUGAAGGAGCCACCGAACGCGUCCGCGCUGCAGCUCUCACUUUCUCCCGCUACAGUAUGUCCUACAAUGACAUAUUUGGUGGGGAUUGGCAGCCAACAAUAGGAUUGGAUUGGGACAAAAUCAAAGAAUAACACGAUAUUGAAAUGAAUAUAAUUAACAAAUAUUUCCCAGAAGAUUUUGGGUUCAACCUAAGGCUGACUAGGACAGAUCAAUCAACUUGAUCCGACACAGUAAGCCUACAUGUCAUACGUAAGUAAACCCACAAGAGAGACAAUAUUGCAAAGGCAGGACCAUGUUCGAUGGAAGGCGUAGGGGUAGGCAAUCGAAAACGUUUGACGGGGAAAUUUCUGUCAAUAUUAGCUAGUCCUACUGAGUGGGCAAGUAACCUUUCCCGCGCUCUUCCUAAAAAUACUAUUUGUGAUGUCAUAAAGGUCUAACGUUCCAUGACGUAGCAUGUAGCCCUAAAUUACAGUCCCUGCCUGCAAUAUUGUCCUCACUCUCGACCUGAACUCAAGUUGAAUGUAACCAACACAGACAAGGACAUGCUUUUUGAGAUAUAAAAUAGCUUGAAUGGAUGAAGAAAAGGUAAGCUAAAUGACUUCAUACAAUAUUGGGGGAAAGUAAAAUAGGGUAAAGCAAUCUAAGCGGAUAUUUCUUGUAAAAAGCUAUAACAUAUUGUAAAGCAAAUGUACCAUUCUUUAUAAAGUCACCAGCUUAGCUCUGAUAUGGCUGUAGCUCUAUUUAUGAUGUCCUCUGCACAGAUCUACUCUGACAUUGACAUAUUAUUACUUAUUGGAAUGUCUGUCCUUCAGGUAGCACAGAGGGAGGAUGGUGAUCCUCAGAGGGAAGGAAAGGAAGUUGUUGAGGAAGAACCGGUGGCCACGCCCAAAGAGGAGGCCAAGAAGAGAAGGAAGGCAAAAAGGAAGAGGAGUGGCAAGAAGUCAAGGAAGCUGGGCACUGACAACGAUGCAGUCUCCAGGAAUAAACACCUGGAUAGAGGAUCUGUAAUUGAGCUCCUGGAGAAGAAAGCUGUUAAGGCUGCAUUCGGCCCAGGCAACAAGGAUGAGAUGGAAUACUCCUACCCAAUCCUCAUCUCAUUCCUGCGCAAUCUUACUGAUGAGCAGUGGCAAGUGAUCUACAAAGGACUAAAAAACCCUAUGACGAAGGAACAGCUUGCCAAAUUGUGCAAGACAAUUGUAACCUUCAUCGCACAGACCACCCUGCAGAUCCUGCUGCCAGCCCUGGCCCGCGUACUUGGGGUAAAGGACUUUGCUGACGACGACACUGACUCACCCAAGAGGGGUGGUAGUGCAAGAUCCUUUGCUGCCUUUGAUCAGGAAAGACUGGAGCUCAUCCAGGAAGUUAGAUAUCUGGCGAAGAAAAUGUAUAAGGGCGGCACAGGGGCUCAACAUCUCAGGUCCCUAACACCCUCUUCUAAGAGUUCCCAGACCUCAGUGAAAGUCCACCUGGGAAUGACAGAGGACAGAAUCAUCAAAAGUGUCCAGGAGCAACUGUCUGAUCAUAAUAUCCUGUCCUCUUGCCCACCUGAGCUGACUGUUGGUCUUAUCAAGGUGGUGGUCGAACAGCUUAACUCUGCCCUCUCUGCGACCAUCAGCAGAGCCAUUUCAGGGCGGUCCUCCCCUAUUUCUUCUGGUACCCAGGCCGCUGAACAAAUGGUCAACAUGGUCCAGAAAUGUUUUGAUGAUCACACCACCCCAGAGGACCAGAGCUCUACCUCUGUAUUAGAGUCAUGCAUUCCACCUGCAACAGAAGAAGUGAUGACUGUUAUCGCAGAGAUGGUGGGUGAAUUGGAAAAAGAAGAUCCGGAAUUGGCUAAGGUUUUUCGAGAAGUGGCUGUGAAAGUUAAAAUGUUGGCAUCUGGCAGUGACCUUGUAGUGGAGCACCUGGAUGUUGAAGACUCUCCUGUUCCAGAGGAGCUGAACAUAAUAUGUACAUCUUGCAAAGCAAUGAUGCAAAAUCUUGGCACUCUGUUUAGUGUGAAGUUCAAGACCAAAGCCUCAAAGGCUGUGAGUGAAAUUCUUGUGAGAAGGUUAAUGAGCGAUAUCUCUGGUAUGGUUCAACCUUCUCAUUCGUUUAGUACCACUCCAAGCUUGAUGAAUGCAUCUAGCCCUUCUGACAGGAUCCUUGAUUCUGCGGCCACUGAGCUCAUACAGAUCAAAGUAGAAUCUGAGACAUCAAAAAUAAUUGAUAACUUUGUUGAAGAUGUCAAGGACAUUGUGCAGUAUGCUGAAUUAGAUCAGCCAACAAGCACCCAGAGAGAUACCCAAGUGGGACACUGUACGACAAAGCGGAAACCCUUCCGUGCAGCUCGUAGACUCUGCGAGAGACUUCAGGCAAAGCUGGAGACAUUGUUCCUCAGAAUGGGUGGAGCUCCAGUCCAAGGGGAAGAACUUAUGGAAAAAGCUGACUCCAGUGCUGUGCUUCUGGAGCAUACUGACUCCAGUGAUCUGCCUGUUUCAAUCCUGAGCUUGCCUUCCCCAUGUAGGAGUGAAUCCCCUAUAUCAGAACGUAGUUCAUCUUCUUUAUCUGAUGGAUGUGAUUCAACUGGCUCUGUAGGAGAGAAAACACCAGAGCAACCUGAAACCAGUAAGAGUGAGGCAAUACUGCAAGUGGUCAACUCAACAGGACUUGGUUCUCUCCGUAAAUGCCAAAGUGAGAACUCUCAACCAUUACUGUCUCUCUGUGAUUCCAACAUGGUGCCCUGCACCAAAGAGGUCUUGUCCCAGAUUGUGACCAUGUAUAGGUCAGAGGUGGCAGAUUUGGAAUGCACAUCAUCUGUUGCAGAGGGUUCCUCUUCCAACUCCCUUGAAGUCUGUGGCUUUUUGGACAGUGUCAUGUCUUAUCUAGAAGACAUGCCUGUGUCUGGUUCUUCAUGGGUGGAAGGAUUGAGAGAUACUCCAGCCUCAGUCAUUGAGAAACUCUCCAGUGAGGAGUUCCAGAUGAACGCUACCAACGAAGUGCGAAAAAUACUGAUCAAAUCAGUCAGUAGCUCUCCCAGCAAAGUCAGUUCCAGCCAGACAGAUUCUCAGAUGUUGCCAGCAAAAUCAACAAUUUCCUUAAGGCAUACAGAUAUAACUGCUUUUGAAAUCGUUGGAUCAAUUACAAAUGACAUGAAGAGCCUUUUCCCACCCCACAGAGUCUUCUACUACUCUAUGGCAGGCAGACUCUAUGCUUCAACAGAGUGAUGAGAAAACCUCAGAGUACACUGAGGCCACACCCAAAGGCUCACAGUCUGGUUUGGAAGUAUCUGAGAAGAAGAUCUGGACAACUGCAAAGACUAUUUACCACAAUGUGAAGACAAAGAUGAGGAAUUAUUUUACAUGGCAAAAUCAAGUCAAAGCAACAACGGCUCAAGCCAAAAAGACCCUCAGCCAUAUUCUGGUUUCAAUUCAGAAAGAGCUGUCAAAAUCUGACCAAACGGUGACUGCGCUUUCACAAAUAGAGAAUGUGGUUGGAAUGAUGCUGAAGGAUGUUGAAAGGGUAAGCAGUGAAUGUGGUGAGGAACUGAUCUAUCAAGCGCCACAGCGUUCUUCCUCCUCGUUGUCAUCCUCAUCUGCCAGAUCAAAGAAGUCAGAGUGGGAAUUUUCACUCCCUGGCACUCCCAUCUCUUCUGAUUUACCAGAGUGUAUUACUCAGCCCAUUGUGAGAUGCUCAGUCAUCGACAUGGGCAAAUCUACUAAGCCAAAAACAUUGGUGUGUGAUGCCAGGGAAAGCAUGUCUGCAAUAGUGGAUACCAUCAUAAAGGAGGUACAUCCAGAGGAAGAAGGGGAGGUUGCAUUCCACCCUGAUCUAACAGCUGCAAUAGCAAGACUGGAGGAGCUCAUAUCUCAGGGUAGGAUUGGUGCUCUCUCACGUGAUCUUACUCACCAAGUCAACCGCAUCAUUUCUGAGAGCAACUUGACCCCUCUGGUUCUGACAGUGGCGGCUGGAAAGAGUGCAUCCGAUACAGUCCUUACUGAGCUGAAGAGGAAUGACAAGACGGUGGGGAAGCCCACAGCUUACAAGCUGGUUCAGCUUUUUGCAGAGGAGUCUGUGAAGCGCCUCUUGCUUCCUAGCCUUGUGCCCUCUACAGCUUCAAUGAGUUUGGCUCAGGGAGUUAGUGUGCCGGCUAGCGUAUCUGAAGAUAGGAUUUCAUGUUCUUUUUCUACAUCAGCAUUUAGUGACACAGUCAGCCUGUUUACCAAAGUAAUGGUAAGCCAGGUCAUGGACUCUGUGGUUUCUGAUGCACAAAGCAGAGGGUCAUCUCCAACCGGAACUGUAACUGAUAUAGGCAGUCUACUGAGUGGUAAGUCCUACCCUCUGCCAUCUUUCUCCGCCAUCAGCAUGACAACAAGUGGGACCUCCAAUGCUGCACGAGGCUUUGAGGCCAACAUAGAUGCUGAGGAAAGGGAUACCAUCAGUUGUUUCGGUGUACCUCAGAGCAUUGUUUGUGAUCAGAAUUCAACCAGCCCGGAUGUUGCCUCGCUUUCAACCCCAUCCACUGACAACUUAGUCGGUGAUGAUGACUUCACCGGCCUCAUCAGCAUGUUAGUGGUGAGACUUCUGUCAAAAAUCCAAACCCAAACUGAUCUGUACCCAACUGACGUCACACGCACGUCACAAGACCUGAUUCCAAAAGUUAUAGCUGCCUUCUGUGCAUGGUCAGGCUGCUCUGAGACCCAAGCUUAUCCCAAGAACCUGAAGAGUCACAAAGUAUACAGCACCGUCUACAAACAUCUGUUGAAGGAGUUUGGCUCAGAGAAAAUACUCCAACUGGCCGUGUCGACUCAGGACUCCACAUUCAAUAGGAUUCUUGUGAAGUCAUUGAGCAAGGAGCUUCUCCACAGUUGUAACGAGGCAUCAAGAGCAGCCUCAAGAACAUCUUUCGAAGCCACCAGGCCAGAAGCUCUUCUCAUGGCUGAAGAUGUGAAGGCUACCAGAGGGAAGCUGUCUUUCCUACAAAGGCUUGCCAGACUGAAAUUCGACUUAAAGCCAUUCAUGAUGGGAAACAAGAAGGAUUCCAAGAAGAAUUCCCGCCAUUCUGAAUCCAAAGACCAGACUACUGCUGAAGAUAUCAUAUUGGCACAUCCUGGACUCCCAGAGGGUCUUCCCUCCACCUCUCAACAGGAGAAGCCUCGCAAACGUCCCCUUCUAAUCAGGAUGUUUUCCACCAUCUCCAUAGGCCUAUCCAAGCCAUUCAAACGGUUUUCAAAGCAAGCUUAAUACAACAAUUUCCUUUAAUACAGUAAUAUUUGCAUUGAAUUGAUGGCCUUUGUCUUCUUUUGUGUUGCCCUGUUAACACAUUUGAUUAGAAAAUACAUAGUAUAUUUAGUUUAGUUUAUUAUGCAGUCAUAGUCACGGUGUAGGCUAAACAAAGUAAUGUUGUCCUGAAUAAUGUAUAGAAUAUGCACCCCCCCCCCACCCACACACAGUGUGAUUCAUUGAACACACACACAUAGUACUUCAGAUAUGUCCCACAACCAACAUUCAACCAGAUAUCAAUGAUUCAGUGUAAAAUACAUGUACUGUAAAAUAAACCGUAUUUAAUUUACAACCAAUAAAAUAAUACAUGAUGCAGGACACUCAGUUAUAAGGGAAUUAAUUGGUUUAACUUCUCAAACAGAAAGACACACAUUUCCAUUUUCUGUGGAUCGCCCAUGUUUACAUUUUACUGAAUGCUAGUCUGACCUUUGACCUGUAGAUGGCAGUAAAGGUCUACUUUUGCUGCAGAUCCACUUCUAAAGCUCAAACCUCUCUGGACAAGAAGCUGAAACAUUUGUCCAUAGUGAGAGAGAGUAUGUGUGUGUGUGUGUGUGGCAAAAAAAGGGAAUAUUGCACUACACUUUUAUGAUACAGAUACAUUUUGCAUUCGGUAGCAUAGCACAGCUGUAGUUUUUUCAAAUGCCAAAUGUACAUGUAGCAUGCUUCUGCCUACAUAUGCUUUUCUGAGUGACUUGUGUUGUGAGAGAACCAGAAUUCAAACAUAAACUCCUGGAUUACAUUUUAUAAUAUUGUUAGCUCUUUUUAGUAACAUAUGGUAGCAUACAUGUUUCACACGGUGGCAAGUCAAGCUAGUUAGUUACAUGUAACAACAUUACAUUAUAUGGUCAAUGUUUGUGUGUAUCCUCUUAGCUUUUACCUUCGACAUCAACAAGCCGCGCACGGGCUGGUCCUGCAGACUCCCACGCCCAUGGCCCAGGAGAAGGCAGGGGGCCACCUGCUCACUCACGUCCCAGCCAUCUCCUUUGAGACCGACUCUACUGUGGAGUGCACCUCCAAGAGGACUCCGGAAGAGAGGGACCGGGUGAAGGUUAAACUGGCCAACAUGGCCUUGAUGGGAAGGAUCAAAAAGUCUUGGCUGUGAAAUGCCCAUUAUGGUUGAUUAUCAAAUUUAUCAUUUUCCACUUUUGAAACAACAAUGGGAAAGACAGGGUUUAUAGCAAAGGUUGCUCAGAUUGGGCUUUUGGAAAAAUUGAGAGAAUGAAAGUGCACUCCUGAUUCAGAGAGAAAGAUCCAGCUUAAUCAUCCAUACCAUUGUUUAAAUUACAAU